rnacentral:rRNA from 1 species
GGGUGCGAUCAUACCAGCACUAAUGCACCAGAUUCCAUCAAAACUCCGCAGUUAAGCGUGCUUGGGCGAGAGUAGUACUAGGAUGGGUGACCUCCCGGGAAGUCCUCGUGUUGCACCCC